UUAAGGGACAAUGCAGUUUUGCGGAUCAAAUUCAGUGUAUCCUACAUCAACAAGACAAAGUCCAUCAGGGGGUGCUGGGGGAGCGCUUGCACGUCUGCAUGAAGCAUCCAUCAGCUUUAGCAAUAUAUUUUCUUCUGCACCUGCAGCCGCUUCCCUUAUCGAUGUUGCCACAAGAACUCGGACCAUCUUGCGCAGGAACCGAUUAGCCACCAGCUCAACACACAUAACUUUUCUUCCU
rnacentral:misc_RNA from 1 species